rnacentral:misc_RNA from 1 species
GAGGGAGAUGAAUCAAAUAAAAAAAAUUAAAAAAUGUGACUUGUCAAGCCACAUGGCAUCCUAUGUGGCAAAAGUCAAAAUCUUCAAUUUGGGAUUUUGUUAAUUGGAUAAAAUUCCUUCAAUUUCAAAAGUUUUGAUUAAAUUGUCUAAAAUUAAAAGAUUUUGAUAAAAUGAGCAACCAACGUAAAGGCUUGUAUUUAUUUUGCCAAUAGGCCUUUUGAAAAGGUGCUAAAGUUCAGCACUUUUUUGGUAUUUUGACUUGUUUUAAUGCCAAAAUAUUGGACAUUGACAAUAAUGAGUCAAUAAUGAGGUUUAUGGUAUUCACUUUUGUAGGUCUUUUC